CCUACGGGUGGCAGCAGUGGGGAAUAUUGGGCAAUGGGCGCAAGCCUGACCCAGCAACGCCGCGUGAAGGAAGAAGGCUUUCGGGUUGUAAACUUCUUUUGUCAGGGAAGAGUAGAAGACGGUACCUGACGAAUAAGCCACGGCUAACUACGUGCCAGCAGCCGCGGUAAUACGUAGGUGGCAAGCGUUUUCCGGAUUUACUGGGUGUAAAGGGCGUGUAGCCGGUUUGACAAGUCAGUUGUGAAAUCCUGCGGCUUAACCGCAGAACUGCAUUUGAAACUGUUGAUCUUGAGUACUGGAGAGGCAGACGGAAUUCCUAGUGUAGCGGUGAAAUGCGGAGAUAUUAGGAGGAACACCAGUGGCGAAGGCGGUCUGCUGGACAGCAACUGACGGUGAGGCGCGAAAGCGUGGGGAGCAAACAGGAUUAGAUACCCCAGUAGUC
rnacentral:rRNA from 1 species